rnacentral:tmRNA from 1 species
GGGGGCGUAACGGCUUCGACGCAUUAUUAGUGGCUUUAAGAGCAUGUCGAGCGUUGACUAAGUGCUCGCAAAACAAUUGGUCAAAACAGUAAGUGCAGCUCAACCUGCAUAAAAUGUAAGCGAGUCUUACAUUUUCUUGUCAGCUGAACGUGUCUAUCAGUUUGACUGACUCGUAUAAAUCAAGAUAGAACUCCCGAGUGAGAUUUCGCAACUUAGUAACUCGGAGUAGUAUCACCAAGAAGCCUCAUAUAAAAAUACUGUGUCUUUGAGGUUUUAUAUGAGUAAAAUCGAAGACUAAACAUGUAGUUCUUGCAGUUAUUAGUUGUGCGGACAUGGGUUCAAUUCCCAUCGCCUCCACCA